rnacentral:lncRNA from 1 species
GCAUAUCCAGUGUGAAAUCUACAGCCACAAAAUUACAAACAGUGACAAUCAGCAGAAAGUAGAUACAAUACCUGAACUAGGUGUUCUCCCUCUUCAUAUGGUUCCGAUUCUAUACCACCAAAAAGGUAAGGAUGACUACAUACUUUUCGAAGUUGAAUUAUCUGGAAGUGAGUCUGCAGGUUAGUAUUAGGGAGGAUACAAGUUGAGCUCUAACAAAUAGAUCUCCAAGUCCAAAGCAUUUUUCUUACCCUUUAAAGGCUAAAACAGCUACUUAAGCAUGAUAUUUAUGACAAAAUGAAGUGGAGAUGCUAAUAUACUUAAUGAACUCUCAUCGAAUGUAGAUUCAACUUAGAAAAGCAUGAAGGUCUAUUGAAAAAGAAUGUCAAUAAACUUCUCUGAAUAUGCAAAAAUAUUUGCCAGCAAGCUUUUGCUCUUACUUCCACCAGAUAACAUGAACUCCAAAUUUUCUUCUUUACUUGAAAUAGUAAAAUUCUGGAGAAUCAGGAUAUAUAACUUUAUUCUAUGAGAGUACAGAGAGAUUCUUGAAAGAGAUAUAACGUUGACAUAGAUAAGGCUUACCCGAAAGAGGAGCGUGGGCUUGUCAAGUGUUGAAAUCGUUAUUUCAUACAAAGGCCUGCGAAACACAAGUAUAAAAAGAUGGAAUUAAUAAAUUCUCUCCCUGAUUAUAACAGCAUCAUAAACUUGCCAAAUCUUGACACACAACGAUUAAGGAAAAGAACAAAGUGAAGGCAAAAUCAGGAGAAAUGUAUCAGAAUAUUACCGAAAUGACAGUGAAUUUCCACACACAACACCAUUUCCAUCUACAUGAGGGACUAGUUACUAGUUAGAUUCUUUCUAGGAUUUUGGAGGAAUCAACCCUUAACUUGAAUUUGGAUUGCACUAUGGUCAGUGGUGUAUCUAGGAUUUUAAGGUUGUGAACUUCCUUUAAUAUAAAUUUCUACCAAUCACAUAGUAGAAGUUCACAACUAAUUCAAAUGUAAUAGCGAAAAUAGAUCAUGGUAAAAAUACGACUUAAAUUGUCUUUACCGAAAAAAAUAUCAAAAAUUCAUGAAUAUACAGAGAACUCGUACCGAGGAAGCAAGGCCAUAUCUAUCGAGAAGGUUUGCGAAUCCAAAAUCACAUGUGUAAAAAAAGUAAACAUAUUUGAUUCACAUAUAAUAUAGAAACAAGGAGGGUGCUAUCAUGCACUU